rnacentral:rRNA from 1 species
GUAUAUGUCUUCGGAUAUAGAGACCGGCGCACGGGUGCGUAACGCGUAUGCAAUCUACCUUUUACAGAGGGAUAGCCCAGAGAAAUUUGGAUUAAUACCUCAUAGUAUAGUGACUCGGCAUCGAGAUACUAUUAAAGUCACAACGGUAAAAGAUGAGCAUGCGUCCCAUUAGCUAGUUGGUAAGGUAACGGCUUACCAAGGCUACGAUGGGUAGGGGUCCUGAGAGGGAGAUCCCCCACACUGGUACUGAGACACGGACCAGACUCCUACGGGAGGCAGCAGUGAGGAAUAUUGGACAAUGGGCGCAAGCCUGAUCCAGCCAUGCCGCGUGCAGGAUGACGGUCCUAUGGAUUGUAAACUGCUUUUGUACGAGAAGAAACACUCCUUCGUGAAGGAGCUUGACGGUAUCGUAAGAAUAAGGAUCGGCUAACUCCGUGCCAGCAGCCGCGGUAAUACGGAGGAUCCAAGCGUUAUCCGGAAUCAUUGGGUUUAAAGGGUCCGUAGGCGGUUUAGUAAGUCAGUGGUGAAAGCCCAUCGCUCAACGGUGGAACGGUCAUUGAUACUGCUAAACUUG